CCUACGGGAGGCAGCAGUGGGGGAUAUUGCACAAUGGGGGAAACCCUGAUGCAGCGACGCCGCGUGAGUGAAGACGGCCUUCGGGUUGUAAAGCUCUGUCAAUCGGGACGAAGAAGAUGACGGUACCGAUGAAGGAAGCUCCGGCUAACUACGUGCCAGCAGCCGCGGUAAUACGUAGGGAGCAAGCGUUGUCCGGAAUUACUGGGUGUAAAGGGAGCGUAGGCGGGAAUGCAAGUUGGAAGUGAAAGGUAUGGGCUCAACCCAUGAACUGCUUUCAAAACUGUAUUUCUUGAGUGAAGUAGAGGCAGGCGGAAUUCCUAGUGUAGCGGUGAAAUGCGUAGAUAUUAGGAGGAACACCAGUGGCGAAGGCGGCCUGCUGGGCUUUAACUGACGCUGAGGCUCGAAAGCGUGGGUAGCAAACAGGAUUAGAUACCCGGG
rnacentral:rRNA from 1 species